AGUCGAGCGGAACGAUACCAGCUUGCUGGUAGGCGUCGAGCGGCGGACGGGUGAGCAAUACUUAGGAAUCUACCUAGUAGUGGGGGAUAGCUCGGGGUAACUCGAAUUAAUACCGCAUACGACCUACGGGAGAAAGGGGGCAGUUUACUGCUCUCGCUAUUAGAUGAGCCUAAGUCGGAUUAGCUAGAUGGUGGGGUAAAGGCCUACCAUGGCGACGAUCUGUAGCUGGUCUGAGAGGAUGAUCAGCCACACCGGGACUGAGACACGGCCCGGACUCCUACGGGAGGCAGCAGUGGGGAAUAUUGGACAAUGGGGGAAACCCUGAUCCAGCCAUGCCGCGUGUGUGAAGAAGGCCUUUUGGUUGUAAAGCACUUUAAGCAGUGAAGAAGACUCCUCGGUUAAUACCCGUGGACGAUGACAUUAGCUGCAGAAUAAGCACCGGCUAACUCUGUGCCAGCAGCCGCGGUAAUACAGAGGGUGCAAGCGUUAAUCGGAAUUACUGGGCGUAAAGCGAGCGUAGGUGGCUUGAUAAGUCAGAUGUGAAAUCCCCGGGCUUAACCUGGGAACUGCAUCUGAAACUGUUAGGCUAGAGUAGGUGAGAGGAAGGUAGAAUUCCAGGUGUAGCGGUGAAAUGCGUAGAGAUCUGGAGGAAUACCGAUGGCGAAGGCAGCCUUCUGGCAUCAUACUGACACUGAGGCUCGAAAGCGUGGGUAGCAAACAGGAUUAGAUACCCUGGUAGUCCACGCCGUAAACGAUGUCUACUAGUCGUUGGGUCCCUUGAGGACUUAGUGACGCAGCUAACGCAAUAAGUAGACCGCCUGGGGAGUACGGCCGCAAGGUUAAAACUCAAUGAAUUGACGGGGGCCCGCACAAGCGGUGGAGCAUGUGGUUUAAUUCGAUGCAACGCGAAGAACCUUACCUGUCUUGACAUAUCUAGAAUCCUGCAGAGAUGCGGGAGUGCCUUCGGGAAUUAAAAUACAGGUGCUGCAUGGCUGUCGUCAGCUCGUGUCGUGAGAUGUUGGGUUAAGUCCCGCAACGAGCGCAACCCUUGUCCUUAGUUACCAGCGGGUUAAGCCGGGAACUCUAAGGAUACUGCCAGUGACAAACUGGAGGAAGGCGGGGACGACGUCAAGUCAUCAUGGCCCUUACGACCAGGGCUACACACGUGCUACAAUGGUAGGUACAGAGGGCAGCUACACAGCGAUGUGAUGCGAAUCUCAAAAAGCCUAUCGUAGUCCAGAUUGGAGUUUGCAACUCGACUCCAUGAAGUAGGAAUCGCUAGUAAUCGCGGAUCAGAAUGCCGCG
rnacentral:rRNA from 1 species